AACUGUAUAUCGGGUCUUGGAAGGGUGCAUUAACAUUCUUAACUUGAAAAUGAACACAAUACAAUCCAAGAUUAAAAAAAAAAAUUAAUAUAAUUAAGUUACUAAAGUAUAAUGCAACUGAAAAUUACUAGAAUACAAUACAAGUCAAAAUCACAUGGAUUGAAUAAGUAGCGCUUGAGGUGUGUAUAAUUCAUUCAUUCCUAAACAUUAUUCAUUCUAGUUCUCUUAUCCCUUUGAUCUUGAUCUCUAUGGCUUGUCCAGAAAACUUACUUUAAUAGAAUCAAGAUAUAUAUUCUCCUUCUUGAGAGAUCAAAUGUUAGUCAGCUAGCAUCGACAAACAGAUUUGUAAUCUCCGGCUGGCGCAGCCACAGCGUGUGGAUGUGAUCUCCAAACUGCCACAUACAAAUUAUUAUAAGGUUAAUGACCAUAUAUAUAGAUAGGUGAUACAAUUGCAAGAUAUAUAUAUUUAUUAAUGAUAGAAACAUAUAUAUGAUUUCCAUAU
rnacentral:lncRNA from 1 species